GCUGCCACUAUCCAUCCGGGAAUAGCCCAGCCUCGAGCCUGAUAGGGGAAGGGUUUGAAAAGCCUUUGCUGAAAUACGGAUGUACCAUGUCCAAGACAGACAUGAUGCCCUCUGACGCUACGUGUGCGUGUACCCUGUCAUGAACCCGUGCGUUUUCCCACUGAUCACCACUUUGUUUUCUAGGAAUAUUUAUGUUCUUUGGAAUCGGAGACUUCAUCUGGGGGUCAUUAAUAAGCUCCUGUAUUUGCAGAUUGGAACCAUGGCCAAGUCUAUUGGAACCUCAGCUCCCCAAACUGGAAGGUGGACUGCCUAAUUACAUUCACCCUGUCGUCGUGAUCGCAAGCCUCUGUGUGGGUCUCCGUCAUUUAUGGUCAUAUUUACUCUUUCAUUCGAUCCAAAUUUCUUUGCUGUAAGGACAAACAGUUUGUGUGAAAAUACCCAGUGGAAUGUAAUGCAUUUCAUCCGAGCUGUAAUCUGUCUGUUAUGUGCAUCAACCUUCAUCUUCUAGAAUCUGCUGUUGUUUUCCUGGUUGCCUCCAAGAUGGUGACAGCAGUUUAGCAAUGCCAUUUGCAAGAGUUAUCAGCUUCCUGGAUAGUAAUUCAUUGAGGAUUCCUAACUCUAGAGGAAACUAGCUACCACAUUGUGAGGAAGCUCAAGCAGCCCUGUGGAGAGAUUCAUGUAGCAAGCAGCUCAAAUCUUUUGUCAACAUCCCUGUGAAUGAAGAACCUCCAAUGUGGACCCUCUAGUGCCAAUCACACCUUCAGAGGACUGCAACCCCAGAAAACAUCUUGACUAUGUCAUCAUGAAAGACCAUGAAAUAGAACCGCCAGAUAAUUGCCUAAAAAAUUAGGAAGCCUGGAAUUGAUUUAUAACUGAAGUCAGAGUCUAGAGAACUUGGAGGCAGAACCAGUUUCUACACUGGCAGGGGGGAGUGUGAACUUUGUCCUCUCCCCUCCCGAAGGCCCUGGGCUCUCCAAGGCUUGAUUGAAAGGACCCUGGAGGAAGAGCGGGGACAGCAACCCUCUUCUUGGGUACACCAGCUGGCUGGAGAGCAGUGAAGAGCAAAUGGAACAGAUGAAACUCCACUGUCCUUUGUGGGGGUCGUGUGCCCCUCCAUGACCUCUCCUGGUGGUUGGAGUAGAGGUGGCACUAAUAGUGGUGGUAGCAAUAGUGAGGGAGUACCGACAGUGACAAUAAUGUCCACCAACAAAAACCUCCAUCCAUUGCCCCCUGUAGACAGAGCAGAUUCCAGCUGUAUUAUCUGUAUUACUCACUUAUUCCUCUCAGCAAUCCCACGAGGCAGGGAUGGUUGUCAUCCCAUUUUAUACAACAGAAUAAGGCUGAGAGAGUCACGGUCACUUGUGCUCACCUGACGACUAGGCAAUGGCAGAGCUGGGAUGGGAAACCAGGCAGCCUGGCUCAUGGGAGCAUUGAUUUCACUGUUCCAGUGACACUUGUUGACUUUUCUGUUUCUACAACUUGACUGUGAACUGGCUGGUACCAUGGACCUGUGUGUGUGUGUGUGUGUGUGUGUGUGUGUGUGUGUAUGUGCCUUUAUAAACACAUACGUAAUAUACAGACAUAUAUAUUUUAAAAUACUGUAAAGAAUGGUGUGUACAAAAACCUACAGUAUAAAAUGCCACGGUGCAAUAAGUCAUUAUGCAGUGAACACUUGUGUGUUUCUGCCCAGAAAAUACCAGCAUCUAGAACCCCUCUACACACCGGGCCUCUUUAAAUUCUGGCUCUUCUUGCCCCCUAGUAACAACUCUCUCGACUUGUAGCCCUGCAGUUAGCUUUGUCUAUUUCUGAACUAGAGAAACAUGGGAUCAUAAGGCAGAUUCUCUCUGCCUCUGGCCUCUUUCGUGGAACUUCACGUCUGUGAGCUUUACCCGUGUCACCAGGCGUAGUUAUAAGUCAUUUACAUCCAUUUCAGGAUCAUACUCUGGGGUAGGAACACACCGUGAUUUAUCAACUGGUCCAUUGUUGAUGGACACCUGGGUAGAUCCCAGCUUUUGGAUCUCAUGAUGAGUGCCCCUGUCAAUACUGUGGUCCAUGUCGGUAUUCUUGCAUAUAUAUUUCUUUUAAAUAUAGGAAUGGAUUUUUUCAGGUCAAAGUAUAUUCCUAUGAUAGACAUUUUUUUCUUUUCUUUCAAAUUUUCCCCCACCUGCAGUGCUCAAGAGUCCUUGCUGCUCACACCUCACUGACAUGAGGUUUUCUAGGUAGAUUUUGGUAACUCAUUCUGACCUUAGUUUUCAUCUUCCCAAGAUGAUGUAAUCCAUCAACAUUUCCAUAUAUCUAUUGUCUCUUUGGAAUCUUCUUUCGGAAGUGCUGCUUGAAGUGUCUGCCCAUGUUUUGUUUUUCUUCUUUCUUUUUUGGUACUGGGCAUUGAACCCAGAGGCACUCAACCACUAAGCCACAUCCCCAGCCAUUUUUUGA